AAGACAUUGCGGGAACGGAUGGAACUCCGGGAAAUGUAAAAAGAAGGAAGCUAAACUGGACCGUGGAGGAGGGUCUCAUCCUUGUUAAUGCCGUCUAGGAAUUGCAUCUUAUAGUCAAUGGUCGGUUCAGGCCAUAGUUGACCAGUGCAGAUAAGAGAAGGGCGUGGGAGGAGAUCGCAAGGAGCAUAAAUGCCGCCAACCAGCACACGUCCAGGACGUGGGAGGAGGUGGAAGUCAAAUGGUUUUCCCUCGUUUCCAAGACAAGGAAAAAGGUGAAUUCCAAGAGAUUUGAGUUCGAUCAAUCAGGUGAUCGUGGUCCAGAAGCUCUCCCCCUUGACCCUGUGGAGAGCAAAUUAAUGGAGUUGUUGGGGGAUAAUUUUAUUGUUGAGGGCAUUCUUCCCUAAGACUUGGAUCUCAUCUAUCAUAUAUCACAGCAUAAUCCAAGAGAUGGGGGAACACAGGAGCAACACCUCCAGGCCCAGCAGGAGGAAGAGGCUGAAGGAAAACCAGCCUCAGCAACUAGUAAAAAAACUAGUUAUGACAAACUAUUAUUAUAUAAGGAAGAAAAAAAAGAAAAUUGAAAUUAGAAAAAAAAAAAACUUACAUUACUAAAACUAGAGAAGUCUAUAGAAAAGACAGAAGAGGAAAUAAAAAGGAAAAUGGAACUGCAUAAACUAGAGUGUGAA